GCAUCGAUGAAGAACGCAGCKAAAUSCGAUACUUGGUGUGAAUUGCAGAAUCCCGUGCACCAUCGAGUCUUUGAACGCAAGUUGCGCCUGAAGCCGUUAGGUUGAGGGCACGUCUGCCUGGGUGUCACAC
rnacentral:rRNA from 1 species